AGAGUUUGAUCCUGGCUCAGGACGAACGCUGGCGGCGUGCUUAACACAUGCAAGUCGAACGAUGAAGUGGAGCUUGCUCCACGGAUUAGUGGCGAACGGGUGAGGAACACGUGAGAAACCUGCCUCGGAUUUUGGGAUAACAAAUGGAAACGUUUGCUAAUACCAAAUAACGUCGGAGAGUCACAUGACUUUCUGACGAAAGGAAUUCCGAUUCGAGAGGGUCUCGCGGCCUAUCAGCUUGUUGGCGGGGUAAUGGCCCACCAAGGCAACGACGGGUAGCUGGUCUGAGAGGAUGGUCAGCCACACUGGGACUGAGACACGGCCCAGACUCCUACGGGAGGCAGCAGUGGGGAAUCUUGCGCAAUGGGCGAAAGCCUGACGCAGCAACGCCGCGUGCGGGAAGAAGGCUUUCGGGCUGUAAACCGCUUUCAGCAGGAACGAAAAUGACGGUACCUGCAGAAGAAGGAGCGGCCAACUAUGUGCCAGCAGCCGCGGUGAUACAUAGGCUUCAAGCGUUGUCCGGAUUUAUUGGGCGUAAAGAGUUCGUAGGCGGUCGAGUAAGUCGGGUGUGAAAAUUCUGGGCUCAACCCAGAGACGCCACCCGAUACUGCUUAACUUGAGUUCGAUAGGGGAGUGGGGAAUUCCUAGUGUAGCGGUGAAAUGCGCAGAUAUUAGGAGGAACACCGGUGGCGAAGGCGCCACUCUGGAUCGACACUGACGCUGAGGAACGAAAGCAUGGGUAGCAAACAGGAUUAGAUACCCUGGUAGUCCAUGCGGUAAACGGUGGGCACUAGGUGUGGGUUUCUAUUAACGAAAUCCGCGCCGUCGCUAACGCAUUAAGUGCCCCGCCUGGGGAGUACGGUCGCAGGACUAAAACUCAAGGAAUUGACGG
rnacentral:rRNA from 1 species